rnacentral:rRNA from 1 species
AGUGAACGCUGGCGGUAGGCCUAACACAUGCAGGUCGAACGGCAGCACAGUAAGAGCUUGCUCUUACGGGUGGCGAGUGGCGGACGGGUGAGGAAUACAUCGGAAUCUACUUUUUCGUGGGGGAUAACGUAGGGAAACUUACGCUAAUACCGCAUACGACCUACGGGUGAAAGCAGGGGAUCUUCGGACCUUGCGCGAUUGAAUGAGCCGAUGUCGGAUUAGCUAGUUGGCGGGGUAAAGGCCCACCAAGGCGACGAUCCAUAGCUGGUCUGAGAGGAUGAUCAGCCACACUGGAACUGAGACACGGUCCAGACUCCUACGGGAGGCAGCAGUGGGGAAUAUUGGACAAUGGGCGCAAGCCUGAUCCAGCCAUACCGCGUGGGUGAAGAAGGCCUUCGGGUUGUAAAGCCCUUUUGUUGGGAAAGAAAAGCAGCAGGUUAAUACCCCGCUGUUCUGACGGUACCCAAAGAAUAAGCACCGGCUAACUUCGU